GAUGAACGCUGGCGGCGUGCUUAACACAUGCAAGUCGAACGGAAAGGCCCAAGCUUGCUUGGGUACUCGAGUGGCGAACGGGUGAGUAACACGUGGGUGAUCUGCCCUGCACUUCGGGAUAAGCCUGGGAAACUGGGUCUAAUACCGGAUAGGACCACUUCUUGGAUGUUGUGGUGAAAGUUUUUUCGGUGUGGGAUGAGCUCGCGGCCUAUCAGCUUGUUGGUGGGGUAAUGGCCUACCAAGGCGUCGACGGGUAGCCGGCCUGAGAGGGUGUACGGCCACAUUGGGACUGAGAUACGGCCCAGACUCCUACGGGAGGCAGCAGUGGGGAAUAUUGCACAAGGGGCGCAAGCCUGAUGCAGCGACGCCGCGUGGGGGAUGACGGCCUUCGGGUUGUAAACUCCUUUCGCUAGGGACGAAGCGUUUUGUGACGGUACCUGGAGAAGAAGCACCGGCUAACUACGUG
rnacentral:rRNA from 1 species